ACUACUUUUGAAUAAGUAUACAUUACAAUGCCUAAAAGUCAUUUUUUUGAGUGUAUCCGUUCAACCCAAAAAGAUUGAGGUCAAUGACGGAAGUAUGCGCACGUGAGGUGACCACGCCCCUCUUUCCAUGCCCUGAAGCAGCGCGCCAUUUUGUUCAUCUUCUGCCUGCAGCGAGCGACUUCAACUUACUCUCGGAAUGUAUGGACAAACUGAACCUCAGGAACUUGGUGUCUAUUUCAAUGGAUGGGCCCAAUGUGAAUUGGAAACUCUUCGACCUUUUCCAGAAAGAUCAAGCUGAGCAGUACGGAGGUCUUCAGCUCGUUUGUGUGGGGAGCUGUGGCCUACACACGCUACACAACUCCUUCAAGUGUGGGUUCACUGUAUGGCAGCUGGACAAAUUGCUGAGAGCAAUGCACACAUUGUUUCACAAUACGCCUGCCAAGAGAGAGGAUUACAUCACCGUAACCAAGUCCAGUGUGUUCCCUCUAUCUUUCUGUGCCCAUCGUUGGGUAGAAAACCUUCCGGUUGUGGAGAGAGCCCUGGCAGUCUGGCCAUCAUUUCUCCUGUACAUGGAAGCUGUGAAAACAAAGAGACUCCCGAACCCUGGAACAGCAUCAUAUGACACAGUUGCAGCAGCCAUAAAGGAUCCACUCGUCUUGGCCAAAUUGCAGUUCUACGCAGCAAUUGCCAGGACCUUCAAUUCCUUCCUGAAAAAAUAUCAGACGGAUGAGCCUGUGCUCCCAUUCCUCCCCAAGGACCUGACCGAGUUGAUGAUGAGUCUACUCAGACGCUUCAUAAAAGUACUACACGAUAUCACUGUCCUGCAGCUGACCAAACUGGAUGUCACAGACAAGACCAUCUGGCUCAGCCCACAAGACAUCAGCAUUGGUCUAGGUGCAGAGUCAGUCCUUUAG
rnacentral:lncRNA from 1 species